AACGAACGCUGGCGGCAUGCCUAACACAUGCAAGUCGAACGAGACCUUCGGGUCUAGUGGCGCACGGGUGCGUAACGCGUGGGAACCUGCCCUUAGGUUCGGAAUAACUCCCCGGAAGGGGUGCUAAUACCGGAUAAUGUCUUCGGACCAAAGAUUUAUCGCCUUUGGAUGGACCCGCGUUGGAUUAGCUAGUUGGUAGGGUAAAAGCCUACCAAGGCGACGAUCCAUAGCUGGUCUGAGAGGAUGAUCAGCCACACUGGGACUGAGACACGGCCCAGACUCCUACGGGAGGCAGCAGUGGGGAAUAUUGGACAAUGGGCGAAAGCCUGAUCCAGCAAUGCCGCGUGAGUGAUGAAGGCCUUAGGGUUGUAAAGCUCUUUUACCCGGGAUGAUAAUGACAGUACCGGGAGAAUAAGCUCCGGCUAACUCCGUG
rnacentral:rRNA from 1 species